UACGUAGGCAGCAAGCGUUGUUCGGAGUUACUGGGCGUAAAGGGUGUGUAGGCGGUUGCUUAAGUUUGGUGUGAAAUCUCCCGGCUCAACCGGGGAACUGCGUCUGAGACUGAUGAGCUCGAGUGCAGGAGAGGAACGCGGAAUUCCAGGUGUAGCGGUGAAAUGCGUAGAUAUCUGGAGGAACACCGGUGGCGAAGGCGGCGUUCUGGACUGCAACUGACACUGAGGAACGAAAGCCAGGGGAGCAAACGGG
rnacentral:rRNA from 1 species